CCUACGGGGGGCAGCAGUAGGGAAUCUUUCACAAUGGGCGAAAGCCUGAUGGAGCAACGCCGCGUGCAGGAUGAAGGCCUUCGGGUUGUAAACUGCUUUUAUAAGCGAGAAAUAUGAUGGUAACUUAUGAAUAAGGAUCGGCUAACUACGUGCCAGCAGCCGCGGUCAUACGUAGGAUCCGAGCAUUAUCCGGAGUGACUGGGUGUAAAGAGUUUCGUAGGUGGCAUAAUAAGUAGCUAGUGAAAUCUGGUGGCUCAACCAUUCAGACUAUUAGCUAAACUGGUAAGCUCGAGACCGUUAGGGGUAACUGGAAUUUCUAGUGUAGGAGUGAAAUCCGUAGAUAUUAGAAGGAACACCAAUAGCGUAGGCAGGUUGCUGGGACGGUUCUGACACUAAGGCACGAAAGCGUAGGGAGCAAACGGGAUUAGAUACCCCAGUAGUC
rnacentral:rRNA from 1 species